rnacentral:miRNA from 8 species
CGCUGGACGGGGUUUGGGGGGGG